ensembl:lncRNA
GUUGGUUUGUCAAUUGAAAAUGUGUAGAUCUUGCAUUAUUAUGGUGUUAUAUUAUGAUUAUACAUUCAAAGACAUAAAAUGGUCUUAAAAUGACAAUGACAUAACUUGUCGCAAUUGUUUAUGGGGCAAUAUACCGACCAACAAAAAGUUGUUAUCGUAACAGGCCUUCAAAACAGACGGUUUUAUGAUUGAUAAAUUCAAAAAUAAAUACAUUUAAUUUCUCUGAGAUUCUCUAAUAUUCAGUUACAGUUCACAACACAGCUACCUGUACAUGCAGUAUUAUACUGUAAAUAUAAAUCUCUGCAUUUAGCAUCCCACUAGAACAGUUACUGCCUUUUUUUUUUUUUUUUUUUUUUUUUUUUUUUACAAAUACCUGUACUAUUACUAACACAUUUACUGUUUUACUUUUAGCCUGUGGAUACAAAUGCAGAUUUCCUUAAUGUAAGUUGUGCAUUUUAAUUGCAUCAUGUUAUUUUUAUUAUUAUUUAUUUAUUUAUCUAUUUUAUUUUACAUUCAAAUAUGAUUGCUAGUAGGUAAAGAAUAGUUCACCUAUAAUUGAUAUUCCCAAUUAAUUUCUCACCUCUGAUUGAAUGCCUUUGUUUGUUUGCCUUUUUUGACUAUAACAAAACAUUUUUGCAGGAUAUAUAUGGUGAAUUUAUAUGCAUAGAUACAGUCGUAGUGCUUGACACAUGCACACAGCAGUAGAUGUACUAAAAAGGAAAUAAUUACAAUCAUGAUGUUGAUUGCUGAUGUCAGUAUAUAUAUUUUAGGGGAAUGUUUUGUUUUUCACCCAAAAUGAACUAUAUUGCUUCAGAAGAGAUUUAUUACUCUGCCUGACUCUUAUAUAUUGUUCUGUUUUUUGUUUGUUUUUGUUGUUUUCAGGUUCAAUGGUGUGUGUUCUUCUAAUGGCCGCCUUCCCACUGGAGGUUUUGAUCCACAGCAAUUUAAAAGGAGGACAAAUCAAAACGGACAUCGGCGCAGAGUGAAGAACUGCCCUUCAUAAGGACACUAUGACAGCCAUAUAUAUGGCGGUAAGGAAGAGGUUUCCCAAUGUGUCCAGAGGGGCUUUGAGGAUUGCAGUGAAAGCUGGGGGAACUGAGACUGCCGGAAAAGGAAAAGAAAUUACAUUUUAAGUAUGUUGACUUAUGUUCAUACAAUCACACACACAUAUACACACACACACAUAUGUGUACAUAUAGAUCUAUAUAUAUCUAUAUCUCUAUAUAUCUCUAUCUAUCUCUAUAUAUAUAUAUAUAUAUAUAUAUAUAUAUAUAUAUAUAU